rnacentral:rRNA from 1 species
AUUGAACGCUGGCGGCAUGCCUUACACAUGCAAGUCGAACGGCAGCAUGAUCUAGCUUGCUAGAUUGAUGGCGAGUGGCGAACGGGUGAGUAAUACAUCGGAACGUGCCCUGUAGUGGGGGAUAACUAGUCGAAAGAUUAGCUAAUACCGCAUACGACCUGAGGGUGAAAGUGGGGGACCGCAAGGCCUCAUGCUAUAGGAGCGGCCGAUGUCUGAUUAGCUAGUUGGUGGGGUAAAGGCCCACCAAGGCGACGAUCAGUAGCUGGUCUGAGAGGACGAUCAGCCACACUGGGACUGAGACACGGCCCAGACUCCUACGGGAGGCAGCAGUGGGGAAUUUUGGACAAUGGGCGAAAGCCUGAUCCAGCAAUGCCGCGUGUGUGAAGAAGGCCUUCGGGUUGUAAAGCACUUUUGUCCGGAAAGAAAUGGCUCUGGUUAAUACCUGGGGUCGAUGAC